ensembl:lncRNA MEG3 maternally expressed 3
AGCCCCUAGCGCAGACGGCGGAGAGCAGAGAGGGAGCGCGCCUUGGCUCGCUGGCCUUGGCGGCGGCUCCUCAGGAGAGCUGGGGCGCCCACGAGAGGAUCCCUCACCCGGGUCUCUCCUCAGGGAUGACAUCAUCCGUCCACCUCCUUGUCUUCAAGGACCACCUCCUCUCCAUGCUGAGCUGCUGCCAAGGGGCCUGCUGCCCAUCUACACCUCACGAGGGCACUAGGAGCACGGUUUCCUGGAUCCCACCAACAUACAAAGCAGCCACUCACUGACCCCCAGGACCAGGAUGGCAAAGGAUGAAGAGGACCGGAACUGACCAGCCAGCUGUCCCUCUUACCUAAAGACUUAAACCAAUGCCCUAGUGAGGGGGCAUUGGGCAUUAAGCCCUGACCUUUGCUAUGCUCAUACUUUGACUCUAUGAGUACUUUCCUAUAAGUCUUUGCUUGUGUUCACCUGCUAGCAAACUGGAGUGUUUCCCUCCCCAAGGGGGUGUCAGUCUUUGUCGACUGACUCUGUCAUCACCCUUAUGAUGUCCUGAAUGGAAGGAUCCCUUUGGGAAAUUCUCAGGAGGGGGACCUGGGCCAAGGGCUUGGCCAGCAUCCUGCUGGCAACUCCAAGGCCCUGGGUGGGCUUCUGGAAUGAGCAUGCUACUGAAUCACCAAAGGCACGCCCGACCUCUCUGAAGAUCUUCCUAUCCUUUUCUGGGGGAAUGGGGUCGAUGAGAGCAACCUCCUAGGGUUGUUGUGAGAAUUAAAUGAGAUAAAAGAGGCCUCAGGCAGGAUCUGGCAUAGAGGAGGUGAUCAGCAAAUGUUUGUUGAAAAGGUUUGACAGGUCAGUCCCUUCCCACCCCUCUUGCUUGUCUUACUUGUCUUAUUUAUUCUCCAACAGCACUCCAGGCAGCCCUUGUCCACGGGCUCUCCUUGCAUCAGGGCUAAUCUCGGGCCUUGUCGAAGGAAGAGGCUGCAGACGUUAAUGAGGUUAGCUGCUGGAUUCCAGUAUUCGUCGCAUAAGGAUCCUUCUUUGUCUGCGAAGGAAAAACACACUGAUUAUCAUAAUGAGGCACGUGGGCCGUGGCCCGGCUGGGUCGGCUGAAGAACUGCGGAUGGAAGCUGCGGAAGAGGCCCUGAUGGGGCCCACCAUCCCGGACCCAAGUCUUCUUCCUGGCGGGCCUCUCGUCUCCUUCCUGGUUUGGGCGGAAGCCAUCACCUGGAUGCCUACGUGGGAAGGGACCUCGAAUGUGGGACCCCAGCCCCUCUCCAGCUCGAAAUCCCUCCACAGCCACGGGGACACCCUGCACCUAUUCCCACGGGACAGGCUGGACCCAGAGACUCUGGACCCGGGGCCUCCCCUUGAGUAGAGACCCGCCCUCUGACUGAUGGACGCCGCUGACCUGGGGUCAGACCCGUGGGCUGGACCCCUGCCCACCCCGCAGGAACCCUGAGGCCUAGGGGAGCUGUUGAGCCUUCAGUGUCUGCAUGUGGGAAGUGGGCUCCUUCACCUACCUCACAGGGCUGUUGUGAGGGGCGCUGUGAUGCGGUUCCAAAGCACAGGGCUUGGCGCACCCCACUGUGCUCUCAAUAAAUGUGUUUCCUGUCUUAACAA